rnacentral:rRNA from 1 species
AGGUCUAACCUGCCCAAUGAGGAUUUAAAUGGCCGCAGUAUUUUGACUGUGCAAAGGUAGCAUAAUUAUUAGUUUUUUAAUUGGAAACUUGUAUGAAGGGUUGGACGAGAUAAAAUCUGUCUCUAUUUAAAUUAAAGUAGAAUUUAACUUUUAAGUCAAAAGGCUUAAAUGUUAGUAAAAGACGAGAAGACCCUAUAGAUCUUUAUUUAACUAAAACUAUAAUAAUUUAGGAUUAUUUUAAUUUAAAGUUUUAAUUAAAUUUUAUUGGGGUAAUAUAAAGAUUAAAUUAAUUCUUUUUAUUUAUUACAUUAAUUUAUGAAUAUAUGAUCCGUUAUUAUCGAUUAUAAGAUUAAGUUACCUUAGGGAUAACAGCGUAAUUUUUUUGGAGAGCUCAUAUCGAUAAAAAAGUUUGCGACCUCGAUGUUGGAUUAAAAAUUAGCUUGGGUGCAGAAGUUCAAGAUUUUGGUCUGUUCGACCAUUAAAUUUUUACAUGAUCUGAGUUCAGACCGGCGUAAGCCAGGUCGGUUUCUAUCUUUAUUUAAUUAAAAUAUUUUAGUACGAAAGGACCAAAUAUUUAAUAUAUCAUAUUUAGUUUUUGGAUAAUAUUAUUACUUUGGCAGAAUAGUGCAAUGAAUUUAGAAUUCAUGAAUGUAAUUUUAUUACAAGUAAUACUUGUAUUUAGGAGAUUUAUUUAUGAUAGUUUUAUGUAUGUUGAUUCUUGUAGUUUGUGUAUUGGUUGGGGUUGCUUUUUUAACUUUAUUGGAACGUAAAGUUUU